GACGUAGGGGGCAAGCGUUGUCCGGAUUUAUUGGGCGUAAAGCGUGCGUAGGCGGUUGCGCAAGUCGGGUGUGAAACCCCGGGGCUCAACCCCGGAACUGCAUCCGAUACUGCGUGGCUAGAGGUAGGUAGGGGAGAUCGGAAUUCCUGGUGUAGCGGUGAAAUGCGCAGAUAUCAGGAGGAACACCGGUGGCGAAGGCGGAUCUCUGGGCCUUACCUGACGCUCAGGCACGAAAGCGAGGGGAGCGAACAGG
rnacentral:rRNA from 1 species